GUCUAUGACCAUGCCACCCUGAACAAGCCCGAUCCUGUCUGAUCUUGGAAGCUAAGCAGGGUUGGGCCUGGUUAGUACUUGGAUGGGAGACCACCUAAGAAGACCAGGUGCUGUAGGCG
rnacentral:rRNA from 1 species